UACGGGGGGGGCAAGCGUUGUUCGGAAUUACUGGGCGUAAAGAGCGCGCAGGCGGCUGGUCAAGUCCGAUGUGAAAGCUCCCGGCUUAACUGGGAAAUUGCAUCGGAAACUGAUCGGCUUGAAGGUGGGAGAGGGUAGUGGAAUUCCCGGUGUAGUGGUGAAAUUCGUAGAUAUCGGGAGGAACACCAGUGGCGAAGGCGGCGAUCUGGGUGGAUACUGACGCUGAGGUGCGAAAGCGUGGGGAGCAAACAGG
rnacentral:rRNA from 1 species